rnacentral:rRNA from 1 species
UUUCCGGUUGAUCCUGCCGGAGGUCACUGCUAUUGGGAUCCGACUAAGCCAUGCGAGUCGAGAGGGUUCGGCCCUCGGCAGACUGCUCAGUAACACGUGGAUAGUCUGCCCUUAGGAGGAGGAUAAUCUCGGGAAACUGAGAAUAAUACUCCAUAGAUCUAAGAUGCUGGAAUGCACCUAGAUUGAAAGCUCCGGCACCUAAGGAUGAGUCUGCGGACUAUCAGGUAGUAGUCAGGGUAAUGGCCUGACUAGCCUACAACGGAUACGGGUUGUGAGAGCAAUAACCCGGAGACGAUAUCUGAGACACGAUAUCGGGCCCUACGGGGCGCAGCAGGCGCGAAACCUUCACAAUGUGCGAAAGCGCGAUGAGGGGAUCCCAAGUGCUUGCACGUUUGUGUAAGCUGUUUCUUUGUUUAAAAAGCAAAGAGAGGAAGGGCUGGGUAAGACGGGUGCCAGCCGCCGCGGUAAUACCUGCAGCUCAAGUGGUGGCCGCUAUUAUUGGGCCUAAAACGUUCGUAGCCGGCUGAGUAAAUGCUUGGGUAAAUCGUGCCGCUUAACGGUACGAAUUCCGAGUAGACUACUCAGCUUGAGACCGGGAGAAGCUAGAGGUACUCCUGGGGUAGGGGUGAAAUCCUGUAAUCCUGGGGGGACCACCAGUGGCGAAGGCGUCUAGCUAGAACGGGUCUGACGGUGAGGGACGAAACCCUGGGGCGCAAACCGGAUUAGAUACCCGGGUAGUCCAGGGCGCAAACGCUGCUUGCUUGAUGUUAGCUGGGCUCCGAGCUCAGCUAGUGUCGGAGAGAAGUUGUUAAGCAAGCUGCCUGGGAAGUACGAUCGCAAGAUUGAAACUUAAAGGAAUUGGCGGGGGAGCACAGCAACGGGUGGAGCGUGCGGUUUAAUUGGAUUCAACGCCGGA